rnacentral:rRNA from 1 species
AUGGCCAGGCCAGCGUGCUUGGGAGCGGUCGCCGUCGUACUGGUGGUGCUGUGCGCCGCCGUGUCCUCUGCGGCCGCGCAGCCGCGCCGCCCGCUGCCGCCGAACACCCGGGUAAUCCACCCUGGACGGUUCGGCAAGAGGACGCAGACUCUCACCUGCGACAACACCAAGGACAAGAGGAACCCCUGCGUGGCCACCUGCGAUAAGCGCUGCCCCAACGAGUGCCUCGUCCUCUGCCCCAGCUGCAAGACAUACUGCUGUAAGCAUAUAUAUACAUCUCCAACCUCCCCCCAGUCUCAAGCCAUGCAUGCCCUUCUUUUUUAA